rnacentral:lncRNA from 1 species
AGAUCUUCAUUAUAUAGUCAGCAGUAGUGCUUUACUAUUGAGAAUAAUUACAGUUUUUUCUUUAUACCUAGCUAGGAGAUAUCUUGAAAAACAGUGACAUUGGUCCUGAUUUGAUCAACUGUAGUUUAUCAACAUUAAGAUCUGUAAAUCAGAAGAGGUACACUGGAGUAGACAGUGUGUGCUGCUAUCGUAAAGCUGCUACAGCCCCCCCUUUCGAUCCAAUCAAUAUAUAUCAGAAAUUAAUAGAUGAGACCAACCAUUUCACCAAGAUGGGGAGGUACAAUUUGGAUCCAAACAGCCUUUUUGUUAAUGGAUAUUCACCAUCUACAACUGAUUCAGCUCCAGAUCUAGUAGGCUAUGAUCUUGGUUUCAAAAUUAUCAACAAGAACUUGACCAAUACAAAUCCAUUAUCACCAGAAUAUAAGCAAUUGAUGGGUUCCAUCAGUAACGAGAAUCGGUUCCAUCAUAGUUGACUGCAAGUGUUACUUCCAUUCUGCAGGGAAUAACAGCAAAGACGCCGUCAAAAAU